AGAGUUUGAUCAUGGCUCAGGACGAACGCUGGCGGCGUGCUUAACACAUGCAAGUCGAACGGAAAGGCCCUUCGGGGUACUCGAGUGGCGAACGGGUGAGUAACACGUGGGUGAUCUGCCCUGCACUCUGGGAUAAGCCUGGGAAACUGGGUCUAAUACCGGAUAGGACCACACACUUCAUGGUGAGUGGUGCAAAGCUUUUGCGGUGUGGGAUGAGCCCGCGGCCUAUCAGCUUGUUGGUGGGGUAAUGGCCCACCAAGGCGACGACGGGUAGCCGGCCUGAGAGGGUGACCGGCCACACUGGGACUGAGAUACGGCCCAGACUCCUACGGGAGGCAGCAGUGGGGAAUUUUGGACAAUGGGCGAAAGCCUGAUCCAGCAAUGCCGCGUGAGUGAUGAAGGCCCUCGGGUCGUAAAGCUCUUUUACCAGGGAUGAUAAUGACAGUACCUGGAGAAUAAGCUCCGGCUAACUCCGUGCCAGCAGCCGCGGUAAUACGGAGGGAGCUAGCGUUGUUCGGAAUUACUGGGCGUAAAGCGCACGUAGGCGGCUACUCAAGUCAGAGGUGAAAGCCCGGGGCUCAACCCCGGAACUGCCUUUGAAACUAGGUGGCUAGAAUCUUGGAGAGGCGAGUGGAAUUCCGAGUGUAGAGGUGAAAUUCGUAGAUAUUCGGAAGAACACCAGUGGCGAAGGCGGGUCUCUGGGCAGUAACUGACGCUGAGGAGCGAAAGCGUGGGUAGCGAACAGGAUUAGAUACCCCGGUAGUCCAA
rnacentral:rRNA from 1 species